rnacentral:lncRNA from 1 species
CGUGGACUAAUUUGUAAUUUUUUUUAAAGGUUUAAGGUUAUGCCAUGAAUUCUCUUGCUUGAUUCUUGAUGUUUUAUGAAAGAUUAUGAGUCAUUGCUGAUAAAUAAAUAAGUUUUUUAAAGUGAUUUUUGAUGAAAUUGUUAUCUAAGGAUUUAUUUAUGAAAGUAGUAAAAUUCCAUGGUAAAAUUGUGAAAUGUUCCUAGUGAAUUCGGUUAGAAUGAAAUGUGG